rnacentral:lncRNA from 1 species
CAUCAUCAGAAAGGAUAAUUCAUCUCAUCCACAACAUAUGUUGUGUAGGAAGGUGUCCUAAGAUUUAUUCCAAACUCAUCACAUGAUAGUGCAAAUUAAGACUCCUCAAAUAUUUACAAAAUAUAAAUUAAAUUAACCUACAAGCAAAACAUUACGAUUAUAGCCCAAAAUGUAGAUUCAGAAACAUAAUAAAUAUAUUUGGCAUCACAAAAUCAGAUCAAGUGUUGGAUUAUAUAUAUUGCUUCAUCCUUAUCUACAAUUCAAAUCAAAUUAACAAACAAACAUAGAUCUAGAAGCAAUAAUUCAAAACGGCUUAAACCAUUUAAUCACAUGGUAAAAAAAAAUUGAAAUUUUGUUCCCCGACGUCCAUAUACAGCAUUAGAUUUGCAGUAGUGGAUAGCGAGGGGAACACAAUUAUAGGCUUCAUAGAACAUUGCAAACACAAUAAAUUAGGUGCAAGCAU